GACGAACGCUGGCGGCGUGCUUAACACAUGCAAGUCGAACGGAAAGGCCCUGCUUUUGUGGUGUGCUCGAGUGGCGAACGGGUGUGUAACACGUGAGUAACCUGCCCUUGACUUUGGGAUAACUUCAGGAAACUGGGGCUAAUACCGGAUAGGCGCUCCUUCUGCAUGGUGUGGGUUGGAAAGUUUCGGUGGUUGGGGAUGGACUCGCGGCUUAUCAGCUUGUUGGUGGGGUAGUGGCUUACCAAGGCGUUGACGGGUAGCCGGCCUGAGAGGGUGACCGGCCACAUUGGGACUGAGAUACGGCCCAGACUCCUACGGGAGGCAGCAGUGGGGAAUAUUGCACAAUGGGCGGAAGCCUGAUGCAGCAACGCCGCGUGCGGGAUGACGGCCUUCGGGUUGUAAACCGCUUUCGCCUGUGACGAAGCGUGAGUGACGGUAAUGGGUGAAGAAGCACCGGCUAACUACGUG
rnacentral:rRNA from 1 species